GUCUUUGUAGUAUAUUUAAUACAUUGGUCUUGUAAACCAAAAAAGGAGAACAACCAACCCCCCUAAGACU
rnacentral:tRNA from 1 species